rnacentral:rRNA from 1 species
UACGUAGGGGGCAAGCGUUGUCCGGAUUUAUUGGGCGUAAAGAGCGUGUAGGCGGCUUGGUAGGUCCGCUGUGAAAACUCGAGGCUCAACCUCGAGAUGUCGGCGGAAACCACUUGGCUAGAGUCCGGAAGAGGAGAGUGGAAUUCCCGGUGUAGCGGUGAAAUGCGCAGAUAUCGGGAAGAACACCUAUGGCGAAGGCAGCUCUCUGGGACGGUACUGACGCUGAGACGCGAAAGCUGGGGGAGCGAACGGG